rnacentral:lncRNA from 1 species
AUGGGCUGUCUUCUCUCGAGCGUUUUGCGGGCUCUUUGUCUGGACCUUUCUCUAGGCCAGCUGAGUUGGUUUAGUGUGAGCGGUCAAUUCUCGAGGUCGGUGCCUCUUAUGAUUGCCCCUGAUUCUCUGUUUGGCUUUGUAUUUUGGUAUGCAGUUUGCUUAGGAAUCGCCUUGCCUUAAUUCGGUCUGCCUAUUGGGUUUACCAGUACUGCGCUCGUUUUCUUGAGAUCGGCAUGAUGCUUUGGUACUUUUGGUUGUUGUGUGAGAUCAAAGUCUCUUUACCUGAUGACUCGAGGUCCUUUGGGAGGUCGGAGUUUAGCUUUUCAUUUAUGGUCCCGUGCCCCAAUCUUUUAUGUGAGAUCGGAACUAUAUUCUUAUGAGUUGUUUUUGCUUGUAGCACCGGAUGAUCUUGGGGAU